rnacentral:rRNA from 1 species
CCUACGGGAGGCAGCAGUGAGGAAUAUUGGUCAAUGGGCGCGAGCCUGAACCAGCCAAGUAGCGUGAAGGAUGACUGCCCUACGGGUUGUAAACUUCUUUUAUCAAGGAAUAAAGUGAGGCACGUGUGCCUUUUUGUAUGUACUUUAUGAAUAAGGAUCGGCUAACUCCGUGCCAGCAGCCGCGGUAAUACGGAGGAUCCGAGCGUUAUCCGGAUUUAUUGGGUUUAAAGGGAGCGGAGAUGGGUUGUUAAGUCAGUUGUGAAAGUUUGCGGCUAAACCGGAAAAGUUCAAUUGAUACUGGCGGUCUUGAGUACAGGGGAGGUAGGCGGAAUUCGUGGGUGAGAGGUGAAA